CCUACGGGAGGCAGCAGUGGGGAAUAUUGGACAAUGGGGGGAACCCUGAUCCAGCCAUGCCGCGUGUGUGAAGAAGGCCCUCGGGUUGUAAAGCACUUUCAGUGAGGAAGAACGCCUGGUGGUUAAUACCCAUCAGGAAAGACAUCACUCACAGAAGAAGCACCGGCUAACUCCGUGCCAGCAGCCGCGGUAAUACGGAGGGUGCGAGCGGUAAUCGGAAUUACUGGGCGUAAAGCGCGCGUAGGUGGCUUGAUAAGCCGGUUGUGAAAGCCCCGGGCUCAACCUGGGAACGGCAUCCGGAACUGUCAAGCUAGAGUGCAGGAGAGGAAGGUAGAAUUCCCGGUGUAGCGGUGAAAUGCGUAGAGAUCGGGAGGAAUACCAGUGGCGAAGGCGGCCUUCUGGACUGACACUGACACUGAGGUGCGAAAGCGUGGGUAGCAAACAGGAUUAGAUACCCUAGUAGUC
rnacentral:rRNA from 1 species